ACGAGCUCCACACAUGCGCCAGUUUCUCAACAAAUUGAUCGCCCCUUCCUCCAAAAAACUGCAUCACCUACUUUGACUGACCUUUCAUCGCGCUGAACUGCCUCCAGGCCUAUGGAUCGGACGUGUUAGCAUCUUUCAGUGGGACGACUAAAUGUACACUAGUGGCUGAUGUUUGGACUCGGCCUCGUACUCUUUCCACUACUGCAGAUGGGCUGGAGUGAUGAAAAAAGACAUGGCAAAGCUCUUACAGGAAACAGUAGGAGGAAGAAGGUUUUAUAAGGUAAUAAAUGAAUCUGUGUAACCCGCUGCUCACCGUGUGCCGUCCUGUGCGCUGCAGUUGACAUCUGCCCCAUGCUUCAGUAGCACCUGUACAAUGUGUGUCCAGCCACGUGCACAGGCCUCAUGCAGCGCUGUGUAACCCG